GUGGGUUGAGUUUUUAUUUUAAGGCAGAUGAAUCUGUAAACUCAAAUCAGACUUUCCAUGGAAAAGAUGCACUCACCCUUUCUGAAAUUAUUGUUUUCAUACAAAUCUUUUCCGGAUGAUAUUUUCUGGGAAUUGAGGAUGAGGAUAAUCUCAGCAUUUCGUUUAUUUGUGGAUUGCAUGCAUCAUUUGAUUGCGCUCAUCCGUCCUGGCCAAAUCUGGACACAGGAAUGGAAAAGGGUGCUCCCACACUUGGUUCACUUGCCUGGUCCGAACCCGAGUUCUGGUGCUCCCCCCUGCCCCCGCUGGACUGUGUUCAUAUUAUAAUAUUUGAGUCCGAAACCGCGGUUUGCUUGCAUCAUCAAACCAGCAGCUGUUUACCCCCGUUGCUUGGUAACGACAGCGCAGGAGAAUGCGCUUCGGUACAUAACGGCACUUGCGUCUGUCUUACGAAUGUACUGAAAAUACUCCAAAGAGCAUUGAAGGUGAACAUAAAUGAGAUGUACAGCUCUCUGCUUGCAGCGCGUCAGUCACGCUCAUCAGGAAAGUCAUGGAUGAACGACCCAUGAAAAGAGGAGCUGAGCAAGAACACCAGCUGGGUGUACCAUCUGUCGCUGUGCAAUGUAGUGGACGGGCUGGGCAGAUGCCACCAUUGAGCUGGAUAGAAACCAAGCACAACAAACUGAUACGAAACAAAAACAAGCUGGACCCUGGAUGUAGUGGCAUGCUCGAUGAACAAGCAGUGAGCAGCAAAACAUGCCUGGAGGAAAUGCCACAGUAUGCACAUUCAAACCAUGCACUUAUGCUGAAUGCAAGACCGUGGAGUAGUGGGAGACAUGGCUGGAGAAGCACACAACCGUGAGUGAAAAUGAGUCCCCCACUGAAGCCAUCAAUCAACGUAAUGGAUAUGAGACAGGACAUCUCUAGAGAUGCGGCAGUGAAACUCUGCCCCUUUUAUUCCAUCACCACUGCUCUGAACGGCAGCCUCGGGAGACCAGGAGCAGGACAAUACCAGCCUUUCACUCAAGCAAGCAGCUCCAGUGAUUAGUCACAGGACAUUUACGACUGCCCGUGAUUCAACAACCAGGUCGCAUAAUUUUGGCACUGCAGGCCCUGGCCUAGUGACUGAGAUGAAUACGAAUGAUUUUCUAAAUCGGACACUUAGGUGCUUAGAUAUCAUGCUGACGUAGAAGGACCGUGCAUGAAGGUGGCUCACUAGUCUUUGGAACAAAUUAGGAGCCCCAGGACAGCUGAAGCAUUGCAGGAACAACUGGAGUAGUCAACUGUGGGAGCCUCCGAGGAUUCCGGAGCCUGAAUUAGUGACUCUAUUUACAUUUGGCCCAUGCACACUGUUAGAAUCCCCUAUUUUUUGGGAGCACUGGGAUCUAAUAAUUCAUAAUAAAUAACUUUUCACGGUGGCUGAAAGAACAGUAUGCAAUACUUCAAAUCUGCAAGCCCUUUUCAGCUUCCAAGGAAACUCUCGACGGAAUGCAUCGUUCUCUCAUGCGAUUUUAAAGAGGUGCAAAUAAACGGUGAAAAUUUGCAAGCGAGACUAGACGUUUUAGUGAAAGCGGACUACAUUUAUAGAUGUAGAUCUUGUGUUUUGCCACGGAACAAGCCUCAGUCUAUUUCUAGCAUGUGUUUUGUCCCUGUGAGUCAACUUAGUGUAGCCUGACACCUGACAGAUGUACCGGCUGCACUUUUAAUUAUGAUGCAGGCCCCAACCCAAACUCAUUAAAACAUCUUGAAUAACAAAGGCUGGAUUGUCUGAGAUCAUUUGUCCCGCAGAAAACAAAAUGCUGUAUUCCAGAUGAGCUGAUAAUUUGGCAUAAUAAAUGGAAAGCCGACUGCCUCACGCGUGGAAGAUUUAUCUCUGUUGAGCUCGGUGGUCAUUGUUCUUACUCACUGGCUGUAAAUUGAUGGGUUGUUGCAGAGUUGUAAGAGCCAGAUCUUCUGCCCCAGGUCCCUUUGAACAGAACAGAUGGAGCACAAUUGUCACCUACAGUAGCUUUUUCUCUGGUGGUGCUCAUAAUGAAUUUCAAAAUUAUUUAUAUAAAAUUAUAUAGAUGAUAUGAUAUGAUAUGAAUGUAUGUUUAUUAAUUGAUUGAUCUGGGAUAGUCAUUUAAAUUCAAUGUAAAUAAAAUCUUAAGAAUCUAAAUUACUAUAGUGAAUACAUUUUCCGAGUUAUUUCAGAUAAAUAUAAAAAAAAGAUAUGGCUAAAUUAAGUGAAUUCUUUAAAGUUAUUUUCUAUACAGUUCACAAAUUUGGUUUGAAUGAUUCCCUUGCAAACUGUUUCGAAUUUAUUUAUUAAUCCAAAUGUUCCAACAUUGGUAAUGACAGCAUUUUUCAUGAGCUAUUCAUAAUGAAAAUAUAUUUUAAAGUUAUGUAAAAUGUAUUAAAAACUAAGUAUUUCUUUGAAUAGUAUGAAUAUCUACAC